UCAAGCGAACAAGUGCAUGUGGUGGAUGCCUUGGCGAUCACAGGCGAUGAAGGACGCGGUAGCCUGCGAAAAGCUACGGGGAGCUGGCAAACAAGCUUUGAUCCGUAGAUGUCCGAAUGGGGAAACCCACUCCUUUUGGAGUAUCCAUGGCUGAAUACAUAGGCCAUGUGAAGCGAACGCGGUGAACUGAAACAUCUAAGUAACCGCAGGAAAAGAAAUCAACCGAGAUUCCCAAAGUAGUGGCGAGCGAAAUGGGAUGAGCCUUGCACUCUUUAUUUGUAUUGUUAGCCGAACGCUCUGGAAAGUGCGGCCAUAGCAGGUGAUAGCCCUGUAGGCGAAAACAGUAUGAAAGAACUAGGUGUGCGACAAGUAGGGCGGGACACGUGAAAUCCUGUCUGAAGAUGGGGGGACCAUCCUCCAAGGCUAAAUACUCGUGAUCGACCGAUAGUGAACCAGUACCGUGAGGGAAAGGCGAAAAGAACCCCGGGAGGGGAGUGAAAUAGAUCCUGAAACCGCAUGCAUACAAACAGUCGGAGCCUCGUAAGGGGUGACGGCGUACCUUUUGUAUAAUGGGUCAGCGACUUACGUUCAGUAGCAAGCUUAACCGUAUAGGGCAGGCGUAGCGAAAGCGAGUCCGAAUAGGGCGUUCAGUUGCUGGGCGUAGACCCGAAACCAGGUGAUCUAUCCAUGGCCAGGAUGAAGGUGCGGUAACACGUACUGGAGGUCCGAACCCACUAACGUUGAAAAGUUAGGGGAUGAGCUGUGGAUAGGGGUGAAAGGCUAAACAAACCUGGAAAUAGCUGGUUCUCUCCGAAAACUAUUUAGGUAGUGCCUCGUGUCUCACCUUCGGGGGUAGAGCACUGUCAUGGUUGGGGGGUCUAUUGCAGAUUACCCCGCCAUAGCAAACUCCGAAUACCGAAGAGUGCAAUCACGGGAGACAGACAUCGGGUGCUAACGUCCGGUGUCAAGAGGGAAACAACCCAGACCGCCAGCUAAGGUCCCCAAAUAUAGCUAAGUGGGAAACGAAGUGGGAAGGCUAAAACAGUCAGGAGGUUGGCUUAGAAGCAGCCACCCUUUAAAGAAAGCGUAAUAGCUCACUGAUCGAGUCGUCCUGCGCGGAAGAUGUAACGGGGCUAAGCUAUAUACCGAAGCUGCGGAUGCGUGCUUGCACGCAUGGUAGGAGAGCGUUCCGUAAGCCUGCGAAGGUGCCUUGUAAAGGGUGCUGGAGGUAUCGGAAGUGCGAAUGCUGACAUGAGUAGCGAUAAAGGGGGUGAAAGGCCCCCUCGCCGUAAGCCCAAGGUUUCCUACGCAACGUUCAUCGGCGUAGGGUGAGUCGGCCCCUAAGGCGAGGCAGAAAUGCGUAGCUGAUGGGAAGCAGGUCAAUAUUCCUGCACCAUUGUUAGAUGCGAUGGGGGGACGGAUCGCGGAAGGUUGUCCGGGUGUUGGAAGUCCCGGUCGCUGCAUUGGAGAAGGCGCUUAGGCAAAUCCGGGCGCGUAAUUCAAGGGUGUGGCGCGAGCUCCUUAGGGAGCGAAGCAAUUGGAAGUGGUUCCAAGAAAAGCCUCUAAGCUUCAGUCUAACGAUGACCGUACCGCAAACCGACACAGGUGGGCGAGAUGAGUAUUCUAAGGCGCUUGAGAGAACUCGGGAGAAGGAACUCGGCAAAUUGGUACCGUAACUUCGGGAUAAGGUACGCCCUUGUAGCUUGACCAGCCUGCGCUGGAAGGGUGAAGGGGUUGCAAUAAACUGGUGGCUGCGACUGUUUAAUAAAAACACAGCACUCUGCAAACACGAAAGUGGACGUAUAGGGUGUGACGCCUGCCCGGUGCCGGAAGAUUAAAUGAUGGGGUGCAAGCUCUUGAUUGAAGUCCCGGUAAACGGCGGCCGUAACUAUAACGGUCCUAAGGUAGCGAAAUUCCUUGUCGGGUAAGUUCCGACCUGCACGAAUGGCGUAACGAUGGCCACACUGUCUCCUCCCGAGACUCAGCGAAGUUGAAGUGUUUGUGAUGAUGCAAUCUACCCGCGGCUAGACGGAAAGACCCCAUGAACCUUUACUGUAGCUUUGCAUUGGACUUUGAACCGAUCUGUGUAGGAUAGGUGGGAGGCUAUGAAACCGGAACGCUAGUUUCGGUGGAGCCGUCCUUGAAAUACCACCCUGGUUUGUUUGAGGUUCUAACCUUGGCCCGUGAUCCGGGUCGGGGACAGUGCAUGGUAGGCAGUUUGACUGGGGCGGUCUCCUCCCAAAGCGUAACGGAGGAGUACGAAGGUACGCUAGGUACGGUCGGAAAUCGUGCUGAUAGUGCAAUGGCAUAAGCGUGCUUAACUGCGAGACCGACAAGUCGAGCAGGUGCGAAAGCAGGUCAUAGUGAUCCGGUGGUUCUGUAUGGAAGGGCCAUCGCUCAACGGAUAAAAGGUACUCUGGGGAUAACAGGCUGAUACCGCCCAAGAGUUCAUAUCGACGGCGGUGUUUGGCACCUCGAUGUCGGCUCAUCUCAUCCUGGGGCUGUAGCCGGUCCCAAGGGUAUGGCUGUUCGCCAUUUAAAGAGGUACGUGAGCUGGGUUUAAAACGUCGUGAGACAGUUUGGUCCCUAUCUGCCGUGGGCGUUGGAUAUUUGAAGGGGGCUGCUCCUAGUACGAGAGGACCGGAGUGGACGAACCUCUGGUGUACCGGUUGUCACGCCAGUGGCAUCGCCGGGUAGCUAUGUUCGGAAGAGAUAACCGCUGAAAGCAUCUAAGCGGGAAACUCGCCUUAAGAUGAGAUAUCCCUGGGGACUAGAUCCCCUUGAAGGGUCGUUCGAGACCAGGACGUUGAUAGGUCAGGUGUGUAAGCGCAGUAAUGCGUUCAGCUAACUGAUACUAAUUGCCCGUAAGGCUUGAUCCU
rnacentral:rRNA from 1 species